CCUACGGGUGACAGCAGUAGGGAAUAUUGCACAAUGGGGGAAACCCUGAUGCAGCGACGCCGCGUGAGUGAAGAAGGAUUUCGGUAUGUAAAGCUCUAUCAGCAGGGAAGAGAAUGACGGUACCUGAGUAAGAAGCACCGGCUAACUACGUGCCAGCAGCCGCGGUAAUACGUAGGGGGCAAGCGUUAUCCGGAUUUACUGGGUGUAAAGGGAGCGUAGACGGCGAAGAAAGUCUGAAGGGAAAGCCCGCGGCUCAACCGAGGAACUGCUUUGGAAACUUUUUUGCUGGAGUACCGGAGAGGGAAGCGGAAUUCCUAGUGUAGCGGUGAAAUGCGUAGAUAUUAGGAGGAACACCAGUGGCGAAGGCGGCUUACUGGACGGUAACUGACAUUGAUGCUCGAAAGUGUGGGUAUCAAACAGGAUUAGAUACCCUAGUAGUC
rnacentral:rRNA from 1 species